UUUCAGAACCUAAACCAACUUUCAGAAGCAAUGGUCUUAUGUAUAAUUUUUCAACCACGUACCUCUGAACAGUCACUGUCCCAUCAGACUGCACAUGUUCAUGGGCUACAGCUACUACAUCCAGGAAGGGUUGCAUUGAAGAAACUAUGUGCCUACUGUGCAGAUCUAUAGAGAGGGUCAGGAAAGGUUAUUAUCUACUAUUAUAAUUCUGCCAGUUUUGUUGGUUUUGUAACUUCAAUUCAGCUCCUUGGUGCUCGAAGAGAAUCCUGCAGCAGCUGUAUGGGCUCUGCUCCUCCAGGCUCCAUUUCAGG